rnacentral:lncRNA from 1 species
UAACCAUAAACACAGCAGGCCAAGGCUGGGCGAAGCAAAAUAAGACAGAAACCAAACAUUUCCAGAAUAAUAGCGCCACUCUACAACCCCACAAAAUAAGACAGAAACCAAAUACUCCCAGAAAAACAGCGCUGCUCCACAACCCCCACAAAAUACGACAGACACCAAACAUCCUUAGAAAAGCAGCAGCACUCCACGACCCCCACAAAAUAAGACAGAAACCAAAUAUUCCCCAAGCAACAGUGCCGCGCCACAUCACCCCCAAAACAAAACCAACCUCUGUGAGCCUCGGCUGUCCGUCUGCUAAGACAUCUUCCCCUCUGGGGCCCUGGGCAGUUUGGUUCUAUGGGAGAAAUGCAUGUUAGAAAUAGUUUCAGAAGAGGCACCCUGUGUGUCCUCCAGAAAACCCCGCCCAGGGGUUUCUGUGACUGAGUUCCUUCUGUGUGCACUGAGGCCUCCAUGGCCAGGCUGUGCUCCUCACAUUUUUUUAUAUUUUCAAUUUUUAAAAAUAUAUAUAGGGGCAUUAUUAAUUUUGUUUGCUGACUUUGUAUCUAACAACUUUAUUAAACCUUCUCGUUAAUUAUAUAAAUGUGUUUGUAGAUUUUCUAUGUAAGUAAUAUAUAUUCUGCAAAUAACAAUAUUGUCUUUCUCCUUACAAUAAUAAUGCCUCAUUCCUUUUUCUUGCCUUAUUGUGCUGGGUAAAUUCUUCAGUGUAAUUUAGAAUAUUGGUAAUAGUAACAGGCUUCCUUGUUUCUGACUUAAUGGAAAUGCUAUCAACGUUUCGCCAUUAAGUAUGGUAUUUACUGAAGAAAUUUAUAAAUACCUUUUAUCGGAUUAGGAAUGCUUCUAUCUAGUCCCAAUUUGUCAGGAGCUGAAUGCUACUAAAUGGUUUUUCUGCCAUUGAUUGAGAUAGUUAUAAGAUGUUUCCCCUUUAGCCA